ensembl:lncRNA SAMMSON survival associated mitochondrial melanoma specific oncogenic non-coding RNA
GGGCAGACACACUGAAGUCGCUAGACAUUUGAGGAACACAUCCGGGGAAGAAGACACAGGUGGCUGGUCAUGGAGAGCCCGCUGGGGGAAGAGCACACAGACAGGCACCGGCAGGCCAUUGACCAGCGGGACAAGGUGGGCUCAAUGUCAUCACAAGGGUGCUUAAGAGGGAAAGAGGAAGCCAUGAGGGUCAGAGUCAAAGGAAGACUUGAAGAUACUACACUGCGGACUUUAAAGAUGAAGGAAGGGGCGAAAACCAAGAAUGUGGGAAGCCUCUAGAAGCUAGAGAAGGCAAGGAAACAAAUUUUCCACUAGAGCCUCCAGAAGGAACACAGCCCUGCUGACCCACUGUAAUGUCUGACCUCUAGAUGUGUAAGGGUAGUAAGACUGAAAGUCUCAGAAAGGCACUGUUAAAUUCUUAUUCCUCAACUAUGCAACUCAAAACUGGGGUCCUCAGCAGUGAGCGAGGGGUGAGAGAAGACACUGUAUAAACAUGGCACAUCCUCCUGGAAAGUCAACUUUACUCAAAGGUUCUUACACACAGUGACAGCUAGCAGAGUCUAAAAUGCUGACAUUAUGACUUAGAGAUGUGAUAAAGAGAAACAUCUAUUGCAUUUUCUAAAACAUUUGCCAGUUCCCAGUCUACACUUACACUGUCCAAUGGAAAUACAAUGCAAACCAGAAGUGUAAUUUGGCUCGUGUGGAAUGACUUAUCCUGGAAUUUAGAGUUGAAGAUAAUCCUGAUGCUUCAAAGAGAAGAGUUGGAACACAGUCCUUUUUUCUAAACAGAGGAAUUGUUGAAUAUGCGACUGAACCUCUGACUUAACUAAUUAGUUAAUUUGGAGCAGAGUUUGAACACAGUCCUUUUUCUAAACAGAGGAAUUGUUGAAUAUGCAACUGGUCCUCUGACUUAACUAAUUAUUUAAUUUGGAAGUUAUAGGUUUUUUAUUACUUGAGGAGCAGCUUUCUCUGAACAAAUACAGUGUCCCCUGGGGUGUCCAAAUUGUGACAGAAAAGUAGCGCCAGCUUGAAACUAGCUAGUCAUCACAUAGUGGCAUCAUGUGAAUGAAGAAUCCCCCAAAUCUGUGACCCUCUUCUAUCCUUAUGAACUAAUUCAAUAAAUAAAUGAGCACUUUCUCAGUUCCCAAACUGAGAGCAGUUUAAAAAAAUAAUGAGAGCACAGAUAUCUAUUUAGAGAGAUGGCGAGAUAGAGGAGAGAGCAAGUUGCACACCACGAAACAAAGGGAAAGAUAAGAAGAGAGAGUGUGUCACUACUUCCCCGUGGCAGAAUCACAAUCUUUUUUGGAUGUCAUGUUGAAAAGAUUCCCAAUUCGUAGUUCUGUGAGCUAAAGCAGAUGGAUGCUCCAUGUUGGUACAAAUUCCUAUUUGAAGCAGUGUGGUUGCAAAGAUGGGGUUUGGGUCAUUUGAUUUUCUCCGAAAAACAAUCUUGUGUAACUGUUAAAAGAAUUUAUAAUACCCAAUGCAAUGUAUCAUCCGUGAUGCUUCUUCAAAAAUGUUAAAUAAAUGCUGAAACCAGUGUUUCAAA